rnacentral:lncRNA from 10 species
GAAUCCCUUGAACCCGGGAGGCAGAGGUUGCAGUGAGUGAGCCAAGAUCAUGCUACUGCACUCCAGCCUGGGCAACAAAGCGAGACUCCAUCUCAAAAAAAAGAUGCAGAGUGGCUAAGUGGAUUUUUAAAAAUUCAGAUUACAUAGUGUCUAUGAGACUUACUUCAUAUGUAAGAACAUAUAUAGACUACAAGUAAAGGAAUGGGAAAAAAGUUCCUUGCAAGUGGAAAACAAAAAAAGAACAGGAGUAACUAUAUGUAUAUAACUUACUAUAUAACUCAGUAAAAUAUGCUUAACUAAAAAAUAUUAUAAAGAGACAAGGUUAUUAUAUAACAAUAAAGGGUAAUACAGGCAGAGGAGAUGACAAUUAUAAAUAUAUAUGCACCCACUAUAAGAGCAUCUAAAUAUAUAAAGCAAAUAUCAGUGAAAGAGAAAAAAGUGAGAGACAGACUGAAAUACACUAAAUACUGAAAUACAGCAAAUACAGUAAUGCGAGAUUUCAACAUACCACUUUCAGCAAGGAACAGAUCAUCCAGAUAAAAAAUUAACAAAAACAUGCUGGCUUUGAACUGUACUCUAGACCAAACAAAGUCAAUAUGCUUUGCAAUAGAUACCUUGAAAUUUAUUUUUCGUGUCUAAUUAGUUCUUUUUAAAUGCUUGGUGGGAUUCUACAGUUAAACCAGGUCCUGGGCUUUUCUUUGAUGAGAGACAUUUUAUUACUGAUUUAGUUUAAAGACCUGCAAAGACAAUAGCCUCUCGCUUAUCAGAUAUUUUAUUACUGACUGAACACAUUUACACAAUAUUCUAUCCAAUAGUUGCAGAAUAUACAUUUUUCACAACUGCAUGAAACUUUCUCCAGGAUAGACCAUCUUUUAGCCUCCAAAACAACAUAUGCAGAAGACUGAAAUCAUAUAUUUAAGAAGAUUGAAAUGAUAUAUUCAAUCAGGCUUAUGAAGAAUAUGUAGUUCACAGAGGAACA